CCUACGUGUGGCAGCAGUGGGGAAUAUUGGGCAAUGGAGGCAACUCUGACCCAGCAACGCCGCGUGAAUGAUGAAGGUCUUCGGAUUGUAAAGUUCUGUGAUGGGGGAUGAACACAAUGACGGUACCCCAAUAGCAAGCUACGGCUAACUACGUGCCGGCAGCCGCGGUAAUACGUAGGUGGCAAGCGUUAUCCGGAAUGACUGGGCGUAAAGGGUGCGUAGGUGGUUUAGUAAGUUGGCGGUGUAAUUCCGGGGCUCAACCGUGGCGCUGCCGCCAAGACUAUUAGACUAGAGUGCGGGAGGGGUAAGUGGAAUUCCUAGUGUAGCGGUGAAAUGCGUAGAUAUUAGGAGGAACAUCGGGGGCGAAGGCGACUUACUGGACUGUAACUGACGCUGAGGCACGAAAGCGUGGGGAGCAAACAGGAUUAGAUACCCUGGUAGUC
rnacentral:rRNA from 1 species